GACGAACGCUGGCGGCGUGCUUAACACAUGCAAGUCGAACGGAAAGGCCCUGCUUUUGUGGGGUGCUCGAGUGGCGAACGGGUGAGUAACACGUGAGUAACCUGCCCUUGACUUUGGGAUAACUUCAGGAAACUGGGGCGAAUACCGGAGAGGAGCUCCUGCUGCAUGGUGGGGGUUGGAAAGUUUCGGCGGUUGGGGAUGGACUCGCGGCUUAUCAGCUUGUUGGUGGGGUAGGGGCUUACCAAGGCUUUGACGGGUAGGCGGCAUGAGAGGGUGACCGGCCACAUUGGGACUGAGAUACGGCCCAGACUGCUACGGUACGCAGCAGUGGGGAAUAUUGCACAAUGGGCGGAAGCCUGAUGCAGCAACGCCGCGUGCGGGAUGCCGGCCUUCGGGUUGUAAACCGCUUUCGCCUGUGACGAAGCGUGAGUGACGGUAAUGGGUAAAGAAGCACCGGCUAACUACGUG
rnacentral:rRNA from 1 species